UCGAGGCGCCCCCUUCCCUGGCUCAUGGUGAUUUUGCAACUUUCUAGCCGGCUGAGCCUGGCUUUACGCUGACAACACUCGAACGCUGGUGCGGAGAGGACUUCGCAUUUGCUUCGCUGCAGGACGCUGGAGCUGCCAUGUAUGCCCCUUACUUCUGGC